AUUGAACGCUGGCGGCAGGCCUAACACAUGCAAGUCGAACGAGUGGCGGACGGGUGAGUAAUGUCUGGGAAACUGCCUGAUGGAGGGGGCUAACUACUGGAAACGGUAGCUAAUACCGCAUACCAUCGGAUGUGCCCAGAUGGGAUUAGCUAGUGGGUGGGGUAAAGGCUCACCUAGGCGACGAGCCCUAGCUGGCCUGAGAGGGUGACCAGCCACACUGGAACUGAGACACGGUCCAGACUCCUACGGGAGGCAGCAGUGGGGAAUAUUGCGCAAUGGGCGAAAGCCUGACGCAGCCAUGCCGCGUGUAUGAAGAAGGCCUUCGGGUUGUAAAGUACUUUCAGCGGGGAAGCGUUACCCGAAGAAGAAGCACCGGCUAACUCCGUGCCAGCCGCCGCGGUAAUUC
rnacentral:rRNA from 1 species